CUGAACAGUUCAGUGGCUGUGAACUGGAUUUCUGACCGUUUGAGAGUUCUUAUGGGAAAAUGUGUAUAUAUAUUACAUGUAUGUGUACGUGUCAAGUAUUGGCUAGUUCAAACGUCGCACUUAUCAUGUAUCGAACCUUAUGUUAAGACCUGCACUGGUUGUUUGAACCAUUGUGAUUUCUAACAAUCAAUCCCUUGCAGUGAAAUGAAUACAGCUAAUUCGAAAAAGGUUGUCCUUUGCUAACCUUAUUCAACUCUAAACCAUAGAUAUCUUAUAUACACUAGAUAGCGCAUCUCAUUUACACGGGUAAAAAUUGAUCAGGUUGUUCGGCGUUGUUCAAACAAGAGUGAACAAUGUUGUGCUGCACCCCGUGAACAAUAUUGUUAACAAGUUGUUCAACCAUCAGUGCUGUUGCAAGUUGUUAACAUGAUUGUCAACAAGUUGCA